CCUWACGGGGGGGGCGUGCAGUAGGGAAUUUUCCACAAUGGACGAAAGUCUGAUGGAGCAACGCCGCGUGAACGAUGAAGGUCUUCGGAUUGUAAAGUUCUGUUGUUAGGGACGAACAAGUACCGUUCGAAUAGGGCGGUACCUUGACGGUACCUGACGAGAAAGCCACGGCUAACUACGUGCCAGCAGCCGCGGUAAUACGUAGGUGGCAAGCGUUGUCCGGAUUUAUUGGGCGUAAAGCGCGCGCAGGCGGCUAUGUAAGUCUGGUGUUAAAGCCCGGAGCUCAACUCCGGUUCGCAUCGGAAACUGUGUAGCUUGAGUGCAGAAGAGGAAAGCGGUAUUCCACGUGUAGCGGUGAAAUGCGUAGAGAUGUGGAGGAACACCAGUGGCGAAGGCGGCUUUCUGGUCUGUAACUGACGCUGAGGCGCGAAAGCGUGGGGAGCAAAACAGGAUUAGAUCCCCCCC
rnacentral:rRNA from 1 species